CUUAACUCCAGACACGGCUCCAGGUCACCACCAUGCCGGAAUAGCAGGUCACGGAAAGAUCAUCUUCUAACACCUCGCCUGACACCAUACCCAACAUCAAAUAUGACCUGCUACCCAAGAACUAUUCACGAACUGAAUUGGGGACUCCACAGCCAAUUACUGGGGUCACAAUCUAACCAACUCUUACUUUGCAGGUACCCCUCCAGCACGACCCAUGACCAGACAACCAACCCCCGCCCUUGCCCCACAAGACGAACCCCUCAGAACGCACUGGUACCCACACCACCCCCCUCCCAUGACCCAGGACAGACUCCAUGAGCUAACCCAACCAGACAGUCCCACCCUCCCCCAUACCUAAACAAACCCCAG